rnacentral:rRNA from 1 species
GAUGAACGCUGGCGGCGUGCCUAAUACAUGCAAGUCGAGCGAACAGACGAGGAGCUUACUCCUCUGACGUUAGCGGCGGACGGGUGAGUAACACGUGGAUAACCUACCUAUAAGACUGGGAUAACUUCGGGAAACCGGAGCUAAUACCGGAUAACAUGUUGAACCGCAUGGUUCAACAGUGAAAGACGGUCUUGCUGUCACUUAUAGAUGGAUCCGCGUCGCAUUAGCUAGUUGGUAAGGUAACGGCUUACCAAGGCAACGAUGCGUAGCCGACCUGAGAGGGUGAUCGGCCACACUGGACCUGAGACACGGUCCAGACUCCUACGGGAGGCAGCAGUAGGGAAUCUUCCGCAGUGGGCGAAAGCCUGACGGAGCAACGCCGCGUGAGUGAAGAAGGUCUUCGGAUCGUAAAACUCUGUUAUUAGGGAAGAACAAAUGUGUAAGUAACUAUGCACGUCUUGACGGUACCUAAUCAGAAAGCCACGGCUAACUACGU